rnacentral:rRNA from 1 species
AGUGAACGCUGGCGGUAGGCCUAACACAUGCAAGUCGAACGGCAGCACAGUAAGAGCUUGCUCUUACGGGUGGCGAGUGGCGGACGGGUGAGGAAUACAUCGGAAUCUACUUUUUCGUGGGGGAUAACGUAGGGAAACUUACGCUAAUACCGCAUACGACCUUCGGGUGAAAGCAGGGGAUCUUCGGACCUUGCGCGAUUGAAUGAGCCGAUGUCGGAUUAGCUAGUUGGCGGGGUAAAGGCCCACCAAGGCGACGAUCCGUAGCUGGUCUGAGAGGAUGAUCAGCCACACUGGAACUGAGACACGGUCCAGACUCCUACGGGAGGCAGCAGUGGGGAAUAUUGGACAAUGGGCGCAAGCCUGAUCCAGCCAUGCCGCGUGGGUGAAGAAGGCCUUCGGGUUGUAAAGCCCUUUUGUUGGGAAAGAAAAGCAGCAGGUUAAUACCCCGCUGUUCUGACGGUACCCAAAGAAUAAGCACCGGCUAACUUCGUG